rnacentral:tRNA from 1 species
GGCCCAAGAAUUUGUCGAUCCAAAAUUUUGGAUCUUGCUAAUAAUCUAGAUUCAUAUCAAAAUCCUUAAAUAGAAAAUCUAAGG